rnacentral:lncRNA from 7 species
GGCACCGCGCGGCUCCGCUCACCGCUCCGCUUCCCGCAGAGGGGUCCCGGCCCGGAGCAGCUGUCCUGGAGAGCCCGGGGCAGCCCGGGGGCCGCCGUCGCCGCUCUUCUGCAGCUGCUGCGGGAGGAGGAGAACGGUGAGAGCGGGGCGGGGCGGGACGCGGGGGGCCGGGCGGCGUUGGUUGGGGGGGGGGGGUCUCUCCCGGUCCCCGUGAGCGCCCCGACGGCAGCGCUCAGCGCCCGCUUCUGUCUCCCGCAGGUCCCCCGGCGCCCGCGCCUCCUCAGAAGCGGGAUAUGCACGACUUCUUCGUGGGGCUCAUGGGGAAACGGGCGGCGGAACCCGGGAGGGCGGCGGGGGGCGGCGGGGGCGCGGCCCGGGCAGGACACGCUGACCGCGGCCCCUCCGCCCGCUGCUCCCCAGGACCCCCUCCGGACGGCGUUCGGGCUGCCGGUCCCCCCCGCCCCGCGCCGUGAGGAGCGGCUUCGACGGGGCGGACGGGACGCAGCGGAGCCGUCGCGGGAGCCCCGGGGCCGCGCUGAGAGCGGAACGCGCGUGUCCGAACCGCGCUGUACGCGCACCGCACGCAUACAGCACCGCACAGCCCGCAGCCGCGCCCGCCUCUGUGUGUCUGCGCCGGGGUGGGGGGGGGCGAGGGGGGGAGGAGGGGGGGGGGGAAGGGGAGGAGCGCGCCGCUUAUCGCGACCCUCCCCGUAUCGCGACCCGGACCGCCCCGCGUUCCCCCCCGCAGUUCCCCUCCGGGCCGCUGCGGCGCUGUGGCCCCGUCGGAGCGGGCGGGCGGCGGAAGGCGGCUCCGGUGGCGGCGGGCGCGGGCGCUCGGAGCGGCGGGCGGAGGGCGGAGGGCGGGGCGGCGCCUUUGUGUGAGCGAGCGGGGAUGGUGCGGGGCGCCGGGCGGAGCCCCUUGCCCUGCCACUCGCUGGAUGCCGGGCAGCACCUGCUGCCCCCACAGCUGAUGAGGGCGUGAAGGAGCAGCUGAGCAGGAG